GAUGAACGCUGGCGGCGUGCCUAAUACAUGCAAGUCGAGCGAAUGGAUUAAGAGCUUGCUCUUAUGAAGUUAGCGGCGGACGGGUGAGUAACACGUGGGUAACCUGCCCAUAAGACUGGGACAACUCCGGGAAACCGGGGCUAAUACCGGAUAACAUUUUGAACCGCAUGGUUCGAAAUUGAAAGGCGGCUUCGGCUGUCACUUAUGGAUGGACCCGCGUCGCAUUAGCUAGUUGGUGAGGUAACGGCUCACCAAGGCAACAAUGCGUAGCCGACCUGGAAGGGUGAUCGGCCACACUGGGACUGAGACACGGCCCAGACUCCUACGGGAGGCAGCAGUAGGGAAUCUUCCGCAAUGGACGAAAGUCUGACGGAGCAACGCCGCGUGAGUGAUGAAGGCUUUCGGGUCGUAAAACUCUGUUGUUAGGGAAGAACAAGUGCUAGUUGAAUAAGCUGGCACCUUGACGGUACCUAACCAGAAAGCCACGGCUAACUACGUGCCAGCAGCCGCAGUAA
rnacentral:rRNA from 1 species